UACGGGGGGGGGCAAGCGUUGUUCGGAAUUACUGGGCGUAAAGGGCUCGUAGGCGGCCAACUAAGUCAUACGUGAAAUCCCUCGGCUUAACCGGGGAACUGCGUGUGAUACUGGAUGGCUGGAGUUUGGGAGAGGGAUGCGGAAUUCCAGGUGUAGCGGUGAAAUGCGUAGAUAUCUGGAGGAACACCGGUGGCGAAGGCGGCAUCCUGGACCAAUACUGACGCUGAGGAGCGAAAGCCAGGGGAGCAAACGGGG
rnacentral:rRNA from 1 species